UUCCAUCCAAUUAAUUACCGGCACAAAACACAGACUCAGAAACAGGGUGGAUUCCAAGACUUUGAGUUGCUCCCCACACCAGUUAACCCUUCCCCUCCUGCCGCACUUGGAAGUCUCGCCAGCAGCACAGCUUUGGCCCAGAAGCAGCUCAUUACAGGGGAGUCUCCUCACUUCCAAGGGUCCUUGGGGCUGCGUCUGUCCUGCUGCCACUGGUGAGCAGAGCGGUCACUCAGAUGGCAGCCCAGGUGACCUGCACAAAAUGCACGGGCAGCCCGGAUGGUGACGGGACAGGGUCCUUGCAGGUGGGUGAAGGCUGCUCAGCUCUGCCCCCCAGGGCGGGCAUCCAUGAGGUCUGGCCUUGCCCCCUUGUCCUGGCAUCUCCUUCAUUAGGAACCUGCGGGCCCCCGAGGAGAGAAAGUCGCCGGCGUCUUGGGGGCUAAGAGGUGGCAGCCCCAUUUCCGGAGACGAAUUUAGACACCCAGUGUGACAGCUCCUGGGGACCCUGGAGGGCAGCUGAGUGAGCUGGUCCUUCUUCCUCAGGACAGGGUGAUGGAUGCAGGCGUGGCAGGUGGCUGCAUCCGCUUGGAGAAGAGAAUUUGUCUCGGUGGACGUGACACCGAGGAGAUGCUGGUCUGGGACGACGUGGGCACAGGAAACGUGACCCACGAGAUAGAGAGCCGCCCCCCAGCUGCGUGAGCACCUACCUCCUGCAUCGACCCUGUACUACCGAAGCCUGAGCAACUUUGAUCCCACACUGAGCCUGAGGCCGGCAGCAGCUGGACGGACGAGGACAUAUACUAUGGCUGCAAAUCUUCCGAUUUUGGGAAAGGCAGGCUCCUGAAUGUCUGAAGAUGUGACCUGAUGAGUUCUGGGUGACCGUGGGGAGCCCCUUCUCAGAGGCAGAUGAUCGGAGGUCUCCAGGAUGGUGAGCUCUGCAGCUGUCCAGAUGUUUGAGGGCGGAUUCCUGCCCAGGAACCAGAGACGGUCCCACGUCCGAGCCCAGACUCUCAGGGAGACCCAGGCCCUUGUCUUUAACCGGCUCCCAGGUGACCCGUGUGGGUCCCACAGCGAGAGAAGCAGCGUGCUGGUGGGAGCGGACUGUGGCUGGCAGUUGAAGCGCCCAGCACCCGCUCACCCACCCACCCGCUCACUCAACAGCCUCUCUCGUGGGGACUCGCUGGCGCAGGGGCCUGUGGCCACUGGUCCAUGAACGCAAGAUGCGGAGUGAAGCCUUGGAAGGCCUGGAAAGCCUAGAGGCUGUGUCUGCGCAGGAGACCGUUCUGAACGCCAAGUGCUGCCGCGUCAGCUGACACACCACAGUUAUUAAUUAUGGAUGCUGCUGGAAUCUCUGCUGCACAGUUGGGACCAUCAAAUAUACACAGCGGCACAAACCACCCAGCAAAUGGGAGGCAACGGGGUAAAGGACCCGCCAAGAGGGGCGCACGGGACAAACUUGGUGCCAAGUGCCUGUGGGAAGAGCCACCCUUGCCGGUCCCUGUGACCUCCCCUCAGGAUCCCAGGGGAGGAGAUCCGUGUGUCGGUCACCCAGGGGACUCGCUGAGCGCCCGCUGUGUGCUAGGCCCCGUGCCAGGCCCAGGGGAACGGCAGUGCCAGGGCAGGCCCGCGUCCUAGAGCACCUGCGCUGGGCAGCAGGGGGCACUGGGGCAUCUGGGAACAGUGGAGCGCCUGUGGCUGUGUCUUCCCUGCUGGGGCAGGCUCGGAGGAGACCUGCUGGGGAUGGAGUCUUGAGUCUGCCUUGAGCUCAGUUUGCCGUCACUGGUCCCCACACAGGUUCGGCAGCUGUGGGUGGGUCCUUUGAUGAGGCCCUGUGUCUUCUGGAUGCAAAGCACUCGGGAUUCCAGUCAGGUCCCCUCUGAAUAAUGCCGGGGGGUGGGGGCAUAACAUGUUCUAGGUCCUAGCUUCCGGGGAGCUGGGGGCUGCUGGGCGGAGCCCACAGAGUGCAGCUUCGAACCAUCGUGUCAUGA